AUUGAACGCUGGCGGCAUGCCUUACACAUGCAAGUCGAACGGUAACGGGCCUUCGGGUGCCGACGAGUGGCGAACGGGUGAGUAAUACAUCGGAACGUGCCCGAUCGUGGGGGAUAACGAGGCGAAAGCUUUGCUAAUACCGCAUACGAUCUACGGAUGAAAGCAGGGGACCGCAAGGCCUUGCGCGGACGGAGCGGCCGAUGGCAGAUUAGGUAGUUGGUGGGAUAAAAGCUUACCAAGCCGACGAUCUGUAGCUGGUCUGAGAGGAAGAUCAGCCACACUGGGACUGAGACACGGCCCAGACUCCUACGGGAGGCAGCAGUGGGGAAAUUUGGACAAUGGGCGCAAGCCUGAUCCAGCCAUGCCGCGUGCAGGAUGAAGGCCUUCGGGUUGUAAACUGCUUUUGUACGGAACGAAAAGCCUUCUUUUAAUACAGGAGGGUCAUGACGGUACCGUAAGAAUAAGCACCGGCUAACUACGUG
rnacentral:rRNA from 1 species